CACAUGCAGAUUUCAGCAUAUAAUAAUAGGUGACCUAAGAAUCAUUCUCAGUCAUUUUAUUAGAGGUAAAGAAGUAUUAAAAAACAAAUUGCUGUAUCUGCAGUUUCAUCUUUUUUGAUGGUAGUGGUAGUGGUGUUUUCAGUACUACUUAAAAGAUAUUAUAAGACCUCCAGGAAAAUUAGCCAUGGGUGUGGAAAGAUGGGAUGUGGAUGGAGAAGUUAAAGGACAGAUAGUCCAACUACUUAAUAAUUGAGAAAUACCUAUGUUGCAUUUUAGACAUGUCAAGAAAAGGACCCAUUUUUAGGUAAAUUUAUUAGAAUACAUUCUAUAUCUGGUUUUUCAUAAGCUAGACAUUGUGUUAGCUCUAUCUACUGCUUUUUCAUAUCUCUGGAGUUGGCCAUAAUUUCA
rnacentral:lncRNA from 1 species